rnacentral:rRNA from 1 species
UCAAGCCUUUUGGGUGUUGCCCGCCUCUGCGCGGUGCCCUGCCCGGCUUGGUGUUGGGCGUCUGUCCCGCCAUGUGCGUGGACUCGCCCCAAAUUCAUUGGCAGCGGUCUUCCAGGUUCUCGCGCAGCACAUUGCGUCCCGAGCCGUACGGAGGCAAGCAUCCAGCAAGCAACCCCCCACAAUUUGACCUCGGAUCAGGUAGGGAUACCCGCUGAACUUAAGCAUAU